CCCGCCGGUGCAGGAAGAGGAGAGAGGCAAGGUGAGGAGAUCCCGACUGGCUUUGCAAACCUUACUGGAUCUUCUGCUGGGCAGGCUAGUGUGCUGCAAGGCAAGGGCUUGUCGUUGCUAUUAAAAUAAAUUUAUAGAGGAAAAUCGGCUUUUUGGUAAAAUUCCAUUUAAAGUUUUUUUGUUUUUGUUUUUGUUUUUAAAUUACAUUGAUGGAGAGAGUGGGUCUUAUAAUUUUAGGGCCUCCAAAGGUCUUAAUCAGGCUCUGAUGGUGAGCACAUUAGGGCAAUGGGGAGUUACUGAAACAUUAGCAAGAGGGUGGCGAAAAUGCCCUCCUUUCUCUUUGUCUUACCACGUUCCUGAGGAUCUCAGUUCAGUAAGCGCAAACGGGCGGGCGUGGCUGCGGAGAUGGAGACCAUCCACUUCCUGGUUUUCCGCUCAGCCUGCGGGAAAGCAACGAAUCUCCUGAGUUUCAGAGUGCUGAGACAGAUGACGAUGGGCUGGGCUUCAGUUCCCUCACCGGGAGAGUGACGAGAACACCAGUACAAAACUCCAGGGCUGUUGGGAAGAUGGAAUGAAAUAGUACGUGAAUGAAAUAGUACAUGUAAUGGGUCGCAUUCACAGUUCCUGGAACAUAACAAAUGCUCGUAAAGGUAGGUGU
rnacentral:lncRNA from 10 species